CGGGCGGUGUGUGCGCAACCAGAACACCUGUUUUUGAAAGAUCUGCAAACGGGGCGUGAGUUUGCAGCCUGGGACGGCUUGGAGCGCGAACUGCAGGAACCUGGUCCGUGCACGGUGUGUACCGUCCAUGGCAUGGAUGCCAGGUUCCAAAAAAAUGGUGCUGUGGGCGCAGGGCAAGAUCUGGCGGGUGGAUUCGUUCAAAAAUGCCCGAAUGAAAUUCUUUCCACGUCAAAAAUACNCGUGAAAUGCGCCAAGCGGUGCGCUAUUACGUGGCAGUACCCCGGAACAAUUCGACGUGAAACAACUGCGUUGGCUGCAAGUGGCGCCUAAAGGCGAACGGGUGAUUUAUUCCGCAUUGGGCUACCUGUACGCCAGGACAUGGCAAGUGGAACCGUUUAACGCAUUACACAGCGCAAGGAUGCGUUCGAAUUUUACCCAACCUGUCGCGCAUUGAAAAUCCUGUGUUCGUCACCUGGAAUGACAAGACAAGGAGUGUACGUACCCCCACUUGCAUUUUUUAAA
rnacentral:rRNA from 1 species